CAGCAACACUGCGAAUAGACAAGACUUUCAAGCUGCCCCUGGUGUCCGGGGGGCGGUUUAUCCAUGAUUCCCAAGUGACUGUUUUGGAGAGGUCGAAUAUCUGAAAAAUAUAUUCACCCGCAUAUUUCAAAAGAAAAGGAAUGCAGUGAACAUGCC
rnacentral:lncRNA from 14 species